rnacentral:lncRNA from 1 species
CCCGGAAGCCCCGCCUGGGACAGCAGUGGCCACAGAUGAACGCUUUUGCUUCCUAGAUGAGCAAAUUGAGGCACCGCCCCAUGGUCUAAACCAAUCCUGCUGAUUCCAGUAAACCAUGAAAACAAAGUCUGGAGAGGGGCCUGCCCAAGAGGGUGGUGGGCACUCAGAGGGACCUGCACUCCUUCCUCAUUGAGAUGCCAAGCCCACAGCACAGCUGUUAAGGAUUGGACAAAGCAGCCCGUGUGGACCCUGCCCAGGAGCUUCCUGUCUGGAGAGAGCCGAACUGGGCACAGCCCAGGGUGGAAGGUGGCCACAGGAAGCCGUCCAGGUGGGAGGAGCGCCUCGUGCCUUCGCUGUGUCUGCCGAGCCCAGCGUCCUCACACAGCCCUGCUGCCACCCAGCCAUGCUGGCCCACACGUCCCUUAGACAGCCGGCCACCUCCCGUCCCACCCCUGCUGCUUGUUUUGUGCCCUCACAGGUUUGCACUCCAUGGGGCCACUGCACUGGUGACCAUCUGUCAUCCAUGAUACCUGAAUUCAAACUGGAUUCCUCUGAAGGCCCUGGAGAACUUGUUUCUCAGGUUCCAACUGCCCUUCGCUGGGGCAUCUAGUGCUUGCACUCCACAGCAGUGAGACUGGCCACUCCCAAGUCAGGCCCCAGUGGGACACUGGGCAAGAAAGAGCCGUAGGGUUGGGCCUGUCUCUGAGGGUAGCCCUGGCCUGAGGGGGCCUACUGGACUCCAUCGUUGUGGCUGGGAGAGGUCAGGAGUGGCUGCCAGAGUGGGCUACAGCCUGGCUCUGCCCAAGGGCCACCUGGGGCUGGCCUUUCAGGGCUUGUCCUGUGCCCUCCUGCCCUCACUCCAUCCUGCAGAGGGCACCUUCUCCGUGGCCAGUUCCCCCUCCCCUAGUUUCCAUCCUCUGAAUAAUACCAAUGGCAGCCACAGCCAGCACUUCAGUAGACCUGGCACCAAGCAGCUGUCCUUCCAGUCACCCUUGGGGUGGGCAUGAUUACCCAUUGUGUUGACCAGAUUAGAAUGAGGCACAGAUGACUGAGCAACUUGCUGAGCUGCAGGUGGUCUGGCUCCAGAGGCUACCUGGGCUCUCUGCCCUAUUGGGACUUUGCUGGAGAGCCUCGAGUGCAGGGCACAGUUCCUGGCCCCACCUCCUGCUCUGCACCUUGGGAAGGGCAAGAACCUUGCAAAUUCACAUUAGCACGGACCAUCAGUGAGGACACGGUUUGUGCUCAGAACAAGCUGACAGCCCUUCUUCACACACUGCUCCCAGCUGUGGGGAAGGGUGGGGAGACCAGCAUCGACCUAUGCUGGAUGUAGGCACCCUGUGGCUGAGCUUGGGGACCCGUGUGGCCCUGAGACUGAGCCCAUGCCCAAAGCCUUACUCCAGGGCUGUCAGAACAUGGGUUCCUGGCCGAGCCAACCUGUGCCCUGACCUGGCGGAUGACAGGACACCUCCUCCUCCAUGGCAGGGUGCUGGCCCUGUGCACUCUGUAGUCUGCAAAGGCAACUCCUACCCCAGGGACCCCUAGAAGCUUCCCAGCCCCUAGAGGGACCAGGGCUGGGCUCUGGCAUCCCAUCAGUGCUGCUUUUAGGCAUUAGCAGUAGCCCAGAGUUGGCCCAUUCCACGGAAGCCACCAUCCCUCAUCCAUCCAUUUGGAAAGAGCGUCAUUGAGCCGGGUGGGGGGGAAGGUCUGUGACACAUUCCCCUGAGAGCAAGAAGAAAGCCCCAGAGAAGGCAGAAGAAAGGGAGGCAGUGAUACAGGAGGCUUGCAGAUAGCUGGAGUGGUUGGAUUUGGGGCAAAGACCAGGGACGAAGGAAGAAGGGGAGAGAGGAGGCGCAAUGGGGCUGGGGUUGGGGAGGGAGGGCAGGCACGAUGUGGGAUGGGUGGAGUGGUCUGGCUGGGCGGCUGCACAGAGAUGAAGCAUGUUCCGGGCACCAAAGCAGGGAGCAGGGAAAGCAGGUGGGGCCAAGAGGCAGUCCAGGCCCUGUUCACAGGCCACGUGUCCACUUUUCGGUUUCAUGCAAAGGUGCUGUGGGGCUCUGGGCAGGGGUGAGGGGAGGCCACUGCUGAGAUUACAGGAGGCUGUC